rnacentral:rRNA from 1 species
UACGAAGGGGGCAAGCGUUGUUCGGAAUUACUGGGCGUAAAGGGCUCGUAGGCGGCCAACUAAGUCGGAUGUGAAAUCCCCAGGCUUAACCUGGGAACUGCAUCCGAUACUGGAUGGCUUGAAUCCGGGAGAGGGAUGCAGAAUUCCAGGUGUAGCGGUGAAAUGCGUAGAUAUCUGGAGGAAUACCGGUGGCGAAGGCGGCAUCCUGGACCGGCAUUGACGCUGAUGAGCGAAAGCUAGGGGAGCAAACGGG